GAUGAACGCUAGCGGGAGGCCUAACACAUGCAAGCCGAGCGGUAUUGUUUCUUCGGAAAUGAGAGAGCGGCGUACGGGUGCGUAACACGUGUGCAACCUGCCUUUAUCUGGGGGAUAGCCUUUCGAAAGGAAGAUUAAUACUCCAUAAUAUAUUGAACGGCAUCGUUUAAUAUUGAAAGCUCCGGCGGAUAGAGAUGGGCACGCGCAAGAUUAGCCAGUUGGUGAGGUAACGGCUCACCAAGGCGAUGAUCUUUAGGGGGCCUGAGAGGGUGAUCCCCCACACUGGUACUGAGACACGGACCAGACUCCUACGGGAGGCAGCAGUGAGGAAUAUUGGUCAAUGGGUGCAAGCCUGAACCAGCCAUCCCGCGUGAAGGACGACUGCCCUAUGGGUUGUAAACUUCUUUUGUAUAGGGAUAAACCUACCCUCGUGAGGGUAGCUGAAGGUACUAUACGAAUAAGCACCGGCUAACUCCGUG
rnacentral:rRNA from 1 species